rnacentral:lncRNA from 1 species
CGCUCACACUUGCGCACACUCGUACCCCACGCUGCUUUUUGUUCCGGGCCAGAAGCGCUUUCACAAGUGGUUGGAAAGUCUCGAGCGCCAUCUAACGGGCACCGAAAAGCUGGCGCUGGGUGCAGGUUGGAAUUGAUGAGGAGCCCGGCGGAUCCCUUUUCCUUGUCCCUGAGCCCCGAGGGCCUUGGCAGCCUGUGCUUCGACAGCCAACGCCAAGCACCCAGGGACUCCGGAGCCCGUCCGGCCGGGCCUCCGGCCUCCCGGGCUGGCUGUGCGGGGACCCUCCCGGCCGUCCUGCCUCGGCCCUCCCUCUGGUGCUCCCUCUGCACAUGCCUGCUAAGGCCCUGGCUGGCAGAGCCCCAGCGCCCUUGACUUUGGCUUGUGACCUGAGCAGAAGAGUUCUGCGGAGGGGACCAGGCGCGUCCAGAGGAAAGAUGCAGCAGGGGACAGAAGAUCAUGGCAUCCAGAAGUGGGUGCGGCAGGGACCCCAAUUUUGCUUCCUGCAGUAAGAGAUCUUGGCGAAGAAACCGCCCUCUCUUCUCCUCUCCUCCUUCUCACCCAUCCAAACACUUGGAGUCAGUGCUUCCCCAGUCAGGCCACAGCGGAGAAGAAGGAAAAUUUUCGGCAUCAAUGGUGCAAAGACUGAAAAUGGAGGCUUUGCCCCGUGCUAGUGCGUCACCUUUAACACUCUUUGAUCGUGCUUUUAAAAUUAGGCUGUGGCUCGGCCCUGCUGGCACUGUGGAGCUCUGCAUAAGGGGGCCUCUAAUGUUCUUGACAGUAAGUGGGAACAGGAAUGUGCUGGGAGGGGGAACAUGGCCUAACUUUUGGUUGCACAGAAGGAUAACUGUGGUUGGCAACAGUGCAUUGUAUGUUUCACAAUAGCUCCUGGGGAGGACUUUCAAUGUUGCCAACAUAAAGCAAUGAUAACGGAAGGGCUGGAUGUGUCUGUUGCUCUGCUGUGAUCAUUAGACCCUGGAC